rnacentral:lncRNA from 1 species
CAAGGAAAGUAGGUUUCUGGGAGGGCGGAGCCCGAAACCCUGAGCAACAAGGGUGGGCAAGACCCCAGCCCACUCUCCCAGUCCUCAUCACCAGGGCUGCCCGAGGGAGAGGAGCGUGCCCUCCCUGGCCACCACAGGAAAGGCCCCUGCAGUGGUAAAACAGCCCCGGCCUGAGGUCUUCAUGGUGCCUAAGUCUGCUGGUCGCAGUCUUUGGUUCUGGGGCACGUGGGAGAGUCGAGCACAGGCAUUGCUUCGCUGUCCUCUGCUUGGUUGCACAUCCUCUUCUCACUGAGCGUGGACAGGGCCCUCUGAAGGGGGCUGUCCCUCCUCCAGUGGCCUGGUGCUGUGUAAGCCCCACGGAUGCUACCACGCAGAAUAAUUUAGGUAUAGAAAGAGGAAGCUGGAAAUCAGACGGACAUGUGGUGACGAACUCAGCAGUCCUCACUGCAGCGAACCUGGCCCCGCGAAGCCCUGUCCUCAUGCCCAGCUGCCUCCUUCCCACAGGCACUGCUGAAGGCCAGUGACUCCCUCACAGCCAUGGCCUGAGGGCUGUGCGGCCUAGCCCUCGCCUUCCCAGGGCCCCUCUCUGACCACCGGGGCCGGAGCCACUCCGCGCCCUCUGCCACACUGCCACACCAUCGUCCGGAGAAGUGCCCCUGCCCUUCCUGCUGUCACAUGCCCUGUGCCUUUGCCGUGCUGUCCCUCAGAAAGCAGCUCUGCUUCCAGCCCCGCCAGGGAGCGAGCCGGGGCAAGACUGACCCACACCACCUGCUCGACAGCAGCAUCAAACCUGCUGCCCAGUGCCCUGCCCCAUGGCUACCCUGGGCGGAAAAUGCUCCAGAGAGGCUACUGGGAGGCCCCCACCCAUCCCAGGACACAGCAGACCCCCAAACCCACCGUGGACUCCAGCUGCAUUUCCACCUCUUCAAAGGUAUCAGUAGGAGUCCAGCAGAUGGUGUCUGUUUGCAUUUCAUGUUUGUAUUUGAUGGAUUCGCUGUAAAUAUGUCCCUCUUCACACAAUAUUUUAAAGUGUAAAUGUAAAAUGCAAUCAACUGUACUCCCAAAUGUUAGGUCCUCUUUCAGACGUGGGCAGAAAGCAGCCAAACUCUUCACCAUGUGGCAUCACUUGGCUUUUGCCAGGGAGAAGCAGCCUUACCAGCAUCAGUUGAAAGUUACGUACAGCUUGCUGGACUAAUGCCUCCCAGUGUUAGACAGUAUUUUCUAAGAAUAAGAACCUUCCUGAGAUUUCCG